GAAGUGGAUUAGCGGCGGACGGGUGAGUAACACGUGGGUAACCUGCCUUAUAGAGGGGAAUAGCCUUUCGAAAGAGAGAUUAAUACCGCAUAAGAUUGUAGCUUCGCAUGGAGCAGCAAUUAAAGGAGCAAUCCGCUAUAAGAUGGACCCGCGGCGCAUUAGCUAGUUGGUGAGGUACCGGCUCACCAAGGCCACGAUGCGUAGCCGACCUGAGAGGGUGACCGGCCACAUUGGGACUGAGACACGGCCCAGACUCCUACGGGAGGCAGCAGUGGGGA
rnacentral:rRNA from 1 species